UCAUCAACACCCGAAUCACCCUACUAGCUAGCUAGCUACUUGUACAUUCAGAAUUCAGAGCAGCCCUGAACUAUCCUGCUGGGGAAAAGGGGAUAGCCGAGAGACGCUUGCUACCGGCCAGACUCCAAUCUCAGGCCACCGACUGGAUCAAAGCUACCGUACCCUUGAUAAGAAUCCUAAUGAGUUGGAGAGAGAGAGAGAGAGAGACGGAGCCCAAGAACUCACCUUUCUGCAGGGGUCUGUAGCCUCUGGACGCUUCCUCCUCGUCCUAUACUCUUCCGAGCCCAGGCCUCUCCUUCCCCUUUGUUUCUUCCUCGAACCCCUGCAGUUCUUGGAAGUUAUAUUAUGC
rnacentral:lncRNA from 1 species